ACCAACUCCUCACUACGUACAGACACAGGUUCAAUACCAACUCUUCACUACGUACAGACACAGGUUCAAUACCAACUCCUCACUACGUACAGACAUAGGUUCAAUACCAACUCCUCACUACGUACAGACGCAGGUUCAAUACCAACUCCUCGCUACGUACAGACAUAGGUUCAAUACCAACUCCUCACUACGUACAGACGCAGGUUCAAUACCAACUCUUCACUACGUACAGACAUAGGUUCAAUACCAACUCCUCACUACGUACAGACGCAGGUUCUACACCGUCUCACUAUGUACAGACACAGGUUCUACACCGUCUCCUCACUACGUACAGACACAGGUUCAAUACCAACUCCUCACUACGUACAGACGCAGGUUCUACACCGUCUCCUCACUACGUACAGACACAGGUUCAAUACCAACUCCUCACUACGUACAGACAGGUUCUACACCAACUCCUCACUACGUACAGACACAGGUUCAAUACCAACUCUUCACUACGUACAGACACAGGUUCAAUACCAACUCUUCACUACGUACAGACACAGGUUCUACACCAACUCCUCACUACGUACAGACACAGGUUCUACACCAACUCCUCACUACGUACAGACACAGGUUCAAUACCAACUCCUCACUACGUACAGACACAGGUUCUACACCGUCUCACUACGUACAGACACAGGUUCAAUACCAACUCCUCACUACGUACAGAGACAGGUUCAAUACCAACUCCUCACUACGUAUAGAAACAGGUUCAAUACCGACUCCUCACUACGUACAGACACAGGUUCAAUACCGACUCCUCACUACGUAUAGAAACAGGUUCAAUACCAACUCCUCACUACGUACAGACACAGGUUCAAUACCAACUCCUCACUACGUACAGACACAGGUUCAAUACCAACUCCUCACUACGUACAGACACAGGUUCAAUACCAACUCCUCACUACGUACAGACAUAAGUUCAAUACCAACUCCUCACUACGUACAGACACAGGUUCUACACCAACUCCUCACUACGUACAGACACAGGUUCAAUACCAACUCCUCACUACGUACAGAGACAGGUUCAAUACCAACUCCUCACUACGUAUAGAAACAGGUUCAAUACCAACUCCUCACUACGUACAGACACAGGUUCAAUACCAACUCCUCACUACGUACAGACACAGGUUCUACACCAUCUCCUCACUACGUACAGACACAGGUUCAAUACCAACUCCUCACUACGUACAGACACAGGUUCUACACCAACUCCUCACUACGUACAGACACAGGUUCAAUACCAACUCCUCACUACGUACAGACACAGGUUCCACACCGUCUCACUACGUACAGACACAGGUUCUACACCGUCUCCUCACUACGUACAGACACAGGUUCAAUACCAACUCCUCACUAGGUACAGACACAGGUUCAAUACCAACUCCUCACUACGUACAGACGCAGGUUCCACACCGUCUCACUACGUACAGACACAGGUUCUACACCAACUCCUCACUACGUACAGACACAGGUUCAAUACCAACUCCUCACUACGUAUAGAAACAGGUUCAAUACCAACUCCUCACUACGUACAGACACAGGUUCAAUACCAACUCCUCACUACGUACAGACACAGGUUCAAUACCAACUCCUCACUACGUACAGACACAGGUUCAAUACCAACUCCUCACUACGUACAGACACAGGUUCAAUACCAACUCCUCACUACGUACAGACACAGGUUCAAUACCAACUCCUCACUACGUACAGACAUAAGUUCAAUACCAACUCCUCACUACGUACAGACACAGGUUCUACACCAACUCCUCACUACGUACAGACACAGGUUCAAUACCAACUCCUCACUACAUACAGAGACAGGUUCAAUACCAACUCCUCACUACGUAUAGAAACAGGUUCAAUACCAACUCCUCACUACGUACAGACACAGGUUCAAUACCGACUCCUCACUACGUACAGACACAGGUUCAAUACCAACUCCUCACUACGUACAGACGCAGGUUCCACACCGUCUCACUACGUACAGACACAGGUUCUACACCAACUCCUCACUACGUACAGACACAGGCGUUUUUCCCUCCAUGUAGCAUCCACGUGUGUUUAGAUUUGCACGUGACUGAAACGGCGCUCUCCGGAGCCGAAAUGGACGAGAGUGGUGAUUAUCCACUUGGUGGGGGCUACCAUUUGUGAUGGCGAGGUCGCUUCUGAGCUUCGUAGCGCCGCGUGAACCUGGCACCUCCAUGAAAUAAAAAAUGUAGUUUUAGUUUCUCUCAACUCUUGUCCAACCUCACGCGGACUUUGUCCCUCGGCGUGUCCCCCCCACGCGUGUCUCCUUGCCGUCUGACCCAAUGUCCCCCACGCGCGCGU